rnacentral:tRNA from 3 species
GGGCUCGUGGCUCAGCUAGGUAGAGCAGCAGGCUCUUAACCUGUCGGUCAGGGGUUCGAAUCCCCUCGAGCCCG